AAUUGAGGAGAUGUCCAUGUCGUAAUCCACAACUAUAUUCAAAUUAUUCAUUUGUAAAUUAGUACUCCUCCGAUCUAGAUUAUAUGAUAUUGUUAGCUUGAGCAUAUCUCUUAAAAAUUCAAUCACUCCUAGAAAGUAAAAGGCGUUUUCACAAAAUUACGCUUAAUUUUUUUUUUUUUGAGAAACCACUAAGUAAUACUUAGUAGAGGGAUAUUUUAUUAAUAUUAAUAAUCUAAACAAAAAGCAAAAAGCAAAAAGGAAACAAACAAUAGCAGGUACACGGUCUAAAAUCAGACCAAGCCCCAAUUUUCACUCUAACCCUAGACCCAAUUAGGAAACAACUCAUUCAGGUAGCGUUGACAUUGCCGGAGCUAGUCCACCGCAAAUUAACCUCCGAUCAAAGCUCUGGAUUUACGAUAUGGAUAUACGUAUUAUCGCACCUCAAACUCUCACCAGUGCAGUAUAUCCAUAGCCAAGGAGUCAAACUCAGAUAAUCCAGGUCUUUCCUCUUCCAGCCAAUUGCUUCUCAGCUGCAGAUUGCUGCUCCUCAGAAGUUCCAUGACUCAUCUAGUUUUUCUCCUUUGAUAGUGCAUCCCCCUGGGACAUAACUGCAUUCAUUUGCUCCUGCUCAUCUGUUGUAGACUUCUUCUCCUAGGAACUAGAAGAAGCAUCCACAAAUGCAUUUAAAUCUAUCAUCCUGUGGUUUGGAGUAGUAUCACUACUUUUGCUCUGUAUACUUGCUUCUACCAUUUGUUGAUCUGAUGUUUUGCUGUAAGUGCUAACUAUCACGGGCCGCCUCCUUCAUAGUGUCAUUGGUACACUAAUGGCCCGUGCGGCGCCCGUAGUCCGGGCGGACUACGAGCCAGCCUAAUGAUAGUCCCAGAAUCCAUGGCACGACCUUAUGUCCAUGGCUUUGGAGGCUUAGCUUCACCGGUGCUUCUGGUUCGAUGUCAAGGCCUUGGCCUUGCCUUGCUCGUAUGCCCCUAUGGUAUGUUUCAUAUGUUGGGUCCUUGCCUGUACGCACACUUGGGGUCGGCUACGGACAUGACAGUCCCUCGCCUGGUGCUGAGCGACGUUGGUGCGCGCACAGUCCAAUCCUCAGGCUUGACACCGGUCUGGUGCCUGUGCACCUGAGCGGUGCGACACCUGAGUAGGGCAACUCUUGAAUCCUUGGCCUGUGUCAUGUGUGUCCUUUGUAGUAUGCCUAUGAUGAGGCUUUGCUAAAUGUGGACCUCGCGACAUGCUUCCGUCUUGCAUGGUGCAGCGUCGCCCUACGACUGCACCUCUAGGCCAACGGACCCUUGCUCGCUAGGCUGAACCUGAGCCAAGCUCACAAGUCAACACACGAGGUUCUUAUGAGAGGUGCCUCGAGUGUCCAAUCGACACGGAGGGCUUUAUAAUUCUCAAGGAUAGCCCGCAGGGCAUGGUCGGUCCAUACGUCAAGCCUCCGGCCCUCGUUGGGCGCCCAACGCUGGCCUGUGGCCGAGCACCGCCCAUAGAGUUGUGUAACUCGUAUGGGUACCUAGGAUCCAUUGGGGAUGCCUAGGCAGGCCCUUGAGGUUGUCCCCCAAGGUUGCUCACUUAGUACGGCUUGAUGGUGGCACGCACGGGGGAGGCUGGCUGAGCUGAGACACCUCUGCCCCCCUUAUAUAUGCUUUAAAAAAUAAAAGCCCAAGUUUUAGCACUAGACAUGAUUCUGCCCGAGAAUCAUACUUGGCCUUUCUCAAUGAUCCGAACUCCAAAUGAGGCUCCGUCUGUUCCUGAAUGUUUCUCUUGACUUCCUUUACUCCUCCAUGAAGUUUCAUCUCAUCCUCAUGCUCGUGGAACGAGAUAUGGCCUUAGGGAGAUUUGACACUGACACUGCUCCUUGGCUAAGUCAAGCCCUUAGGUAAAUGAUGUUCAAAUGACGCCAAACUUGGUAAGCACAUUCAAUAACAUCCUAGGAAGGGUGUGUUCACCCGAAAUCCCAAGAUUCCAUCCAUAGCUCGGAAACGCUCGGGACUGACACUCAGGCUCGCAUGGGGUCGCUCGUGCGUUGACGACCUGCGGGCUCAUCCCGGAUGCUUGUGGAACUUCCUUGCUACUCUUAGGAUAUGCAAUGGAGCAUAUCUAUGAUGAUUGUGGGCUCCCGUCCGUCGGCACCCAUGUUGGUGCACGUCGCCCGCGCGGCCGACACUGCCUGUGGGCUGACACUGCCUGUGCGGCUGGCAUUGCCUGUGGCUGGCACUGCCUGUGCGGCUGGCACUGCCUGUGGGCUGGCACUCGUUUGGCCCGCUCGGGGCGCGCAAGGUUGCGGGCGCCAAGGCACAAUGAAGGCAACUCGUAACAUUCUCCCCCACUCAAGCUAGGCAUCGUCCCCGAUGCCUCAUAACGCCAACGACAACCCGGAGUUUGACCCCUCGGGGUUUUACAUCGCGGCCCCAAAUCCUGCAGGUUCGCAACCCUUUUGUGUUUUUCUUAAAAAUGGAGUCGUGCCCGUGCACUGCUCCCCAAGUUUCUCCCAAGCGUGCCUCUGCACUUCACCUCCCGGUGUUCACUUGGAAAGCGCCUCCGUGCUUGCACCCUCUGGUGGCUAACUUUGUGGUGACCUCGUUGUCAACCACGCCAUGAUCCUCACGGCAACUGAUGCAUCCUCUGGUGGGCUAACUUUGAGUGGUGGCACUCUUGCUAGCCACAUGAUGAUUGUAGCAAAAUGGCAAAUCCAUUUUGGAAGUCUGCUUUCAACUGAUAGUUUACGUAUGAGACCUUCUCCCGACUAAGGCACUUAGUUUACAUCCAGUGGAUGUACUGCUCCCUUUGUAUCUUUAGCCCGAUUUAGGAUUGGCACACCUUGAUGUGGCACAUGCAACCCCCCACUAUGUUUGGUGCGGUCUCUUUGUUUUGCUUGUGGAGGAUUUUCCUCCAAUUGGAAAUGCAUGGACCCAAUGUUGUUACAAUGGAUGAAUACUCCCCCACAUGGAUGGCGGCAGUACUGAAAUGAUAGUGCCGAUGUUCCAAGAUAUCCUCAUCUCUUGGCGAAACAUUAGCGAUGGAGCCCUUGGCGAGCAAUGGCGCUCUUAGGAGAGCGAUGCAGCUUUCGGCGGCUGGUGACUGAGCCCUUGGCGGGCGAUGACGCUCUAGGAGAGCAAUGGCCGAGCCCUUAGCGAGCACUGGCGCGCUAGGCGGGUAAUAGCUGAUCCCGUGGCGGAUGAUGCAGCUCUCGGCGGAUGAUGGCUGAGCCUUUUGGUGAGCAAUGGCGCUCUAGGCUAGCGAUGGGCGAGCCCUUGGCGGGCAAUAGCCGAUGAUGGCGGCCUGAUGGCCGAUGAUGAUGGCGGCCUGAUAGCCAAUGAUGAGGGUGCAUGUCUACUGACCCUAUGUCUGCCGAUGACUUGAUGACCAUAUGACUGGCGAUGAUCUGAUGAUAUGAUGACUCAUAUGUGAAUCCCUUGGUAUGGCACCAAUAUCGUGAUGAUAGCCUGAUGGCUAUUGUGGGCAUCCCUUGGUGUGGCGCUCUCGCCAACCAUGCUAUUAGGGACCCUCUUCUCUUGUGGGCAACUCACCUCGUUGGGUGUAUAGCAAGGUCAAGUACUGAUAUCUUAACUCGGAGUGACUUGCAAUUUGAGCUAAUGUCCUGAUGGACAAAUUGUGACCGACAUAACGGCUUGCUUAUUCCAUGGCAUUGGUGGUUGCUUGACGCUUAACUUUAACCUAAGUUGCAUAUAAUAUGGCCUCUAGAAAGACCAUGCUGCACCGUGGCAUCUUCGGCAAUUCAUAUGUUUGGUACCAUGUGGUACUGAGAAGAGCUCUUGGAAUGUACUCCUGGUGAGUACUCGAUUUUUCUCUGCUCGGGAGGAGAUAGCUUCAUACAUGCAUGACCAUAGGUCUUUGUUCUCAAAUUGGUCCUCAUAUGCUUGAUGCCCGAUUCUCCAGUGUGGUACUUGUGUUCCCGUCCUGGUUGUUCGGUAUCCCUUGGUUAUCCUUUGGAUAGAUCACAUUCUCAAACUUUAAGCUUAGCUAUUCCCCACUCUUAUGUUGCUCAAUGAUCUUUGCCUCCUCACCUUGGUGAUUCAGCAUGAUGAAAUGCCUAACCCACACAUCGUGGAUUGGUGCCUGUCCGCAAUGUCUCCUGCUAUGCAAUCAACCUAGUUUUGGUGUUGUUCCAGUUUAACAAACGCAAUGUGCGACAUGUGCCUCCCCACGCUCAGUGGUUUGGCUCUUUGAUGACAUUGCCUCCCUACGUGGUAGUUCAGCUUUUUCCUGAUCCUGCCUCCCCAUUUAGCUGGUUUGGCAUUCCAUUACAAACGUGGUGGAUGGUUCCACCUUGCUGAUUAUGACAUGUGAACUCCCCGCAAAGAAGCCUGCUUGCAGGUUCUUCCUUACGUUGUCGCGGCUCGGCGCGCCCCGCUCUAGCUCGGUAUCACCCAAUGUCUAGAGCUCAAAAUUGGAGGUCGCUCUCCCUCCAUGAUGAUAGGUAUGAUGCUAGGUUAUUGGCGAUAGCUCGCCUCCCGUAACACGCAACCCUGACGAUCACAAGCUGGGGGUUUGCCCCUUGCUUUAGGCGUAUAAGCCCAUUGAUGUUGAUGGACUUGCCUUCCAUUGCUUGUGACCUUUAUGACGGCUAGGCGUCUGAUAUUUGUAGUUCCCGCAAUUGUGUACCCUCAGGAAAUGCUUAUGGUCCACCCUUCAUCGAGGACGCUAAAAAAGAUGCAGCUGUUAUGUACAUGGACAAGAGACCUUGACUGGGCAAGUUUUUGAUGCACUCAUCGGCUCCCCCUGAUGUCUUAGCGAGUCCACGAUUCGCUGAAUAAAGCUGUAACCGACUACCAACAGAGUUUAUAUAACAAUGACGGAUGUGGACGUAUCCCCAGUAGCAUACCCCAAUGGUGCUACCUGCUGACCAGGUGCGUCUCAAUGGAAUCCCUCUGAAAUUAGUGCUCAUUUUGUGAAAGCCAUCCUUGAAGGGACGUCGAUGAAAUUUGGAUGCUUCAACAUGAAAUCACCUUAUGCAACCGAAGGCGGAAACAACGGUUGUGGCAUGACCUGAUUCUGAAAAAAAAAUGUGGUUUAUGGUUGAUGAAGAAAAUUUUAACGGAAACUGAAUGCAACCAAUCUCCUUUUGUCAGUGGCAUCUGGUUCGCUGACUUGAUUGGCAUUAAGAACAUCAUUUCCUGCCUUGAUAGGAACUCUGCACUGACAUUCAAUAAUGCGCUGAUGAUAUAAUCUCUGUGCUCUGAUACCAACUGUCACGGGCCGCCUCCUUCAUAGUGUCAUUGGUACACUAAUGGCCCGUGCGGCGCCCGAAGUCCGGGCGGACUACGAGCCAGCCUAAUGAUAGUCCCAGAAUCCAUGGCACGACCUUAUGUCCAUGGCUUUGGAGGCUUAGCUUCACCGGUGCUUCUGGUUCGAUGUCAAGGCCUUGGCCUUGCCUUGCUCGUAUGCCACUGUGGUAUGUUUCAUAUGUUGGGUCCUUGCCUGUACGCACACUUGGGGUCGGCUACGGAUAUGACAGUCCCUCGCCUGUUGCUGAGCGAUGCUUGUGCGCGCACAGUCCAAUCCUCAGGCUUGACACCGGUCUGGUGCCUGUGCACCUGAGCGGUGCGACACCUGAGUAGGGCAACUCUUGAAUCCUUGGCCUGUGUCAUGUGUGUCCUUUGUAGUAUGCCUAUGAUGAGGCUUUGCUAAAUGUGGCCCUCGCGACAUGCUUCCGUCUUGCAUGGUGCAACGUCGCCCUACGACUGCACCUCUAGGCCAACAGACCCUUGCUCGCUAGGCUGAACCUGAGCCAAGCUCACAAGUCAACACACGAGGUUCUCAGGAGAUGUGCCUCGAGUGUCCAAUCGGCACGAAGGGCUUUCUCAUUCUCAAGGAUAGCCCGCAGGGCAUGGUCGGUCCAUGCGUCAAGCCUCCGGCCCUCGUUGGGCGCCCAACGCUGGCCUGUGGUCGAGCGCCGCCCAUAGAGUUGUGUAACUCGUAUGGGUACCUAGGAUCCAUUGGGGAUGCCUAGGCAGGCCCUUGAGGUUGUCCCCCAAGGUUUCUCACUUAGUACGGCUUGAUGGUGGCACGCACGGGGGAGGCUGGCUGAGCUGAGACACCUCUGCCCCCCUUAUAUAUGCUUUAAAAAUAAUAGCCCAAGUUUUAGCACUGGACAUGAUUCUGCCCGAGAAUCAUACUUGGCCUUUCUCAAUGAUCCGAACUCCAAAUGAGGCGCCGUCUGUUCCUGACUGUUUCUCUUGACUUCCUUCACUCCUCCAUGAAGUUUCAUCUCAUCCCCAUGCUCGUGGAACGAGAUAUGGCCUUAGGGAGCUUUGACACUAACACUGCUCCUUGGCUAAGUCAAGCCCUUAGGUAAAUGAUGUUCAAAUGACGCCAAACUUGGUAAGCACAUUCAAUAACAUCCUAGGAAGGGUGUGUUCACCCGAAAUCCCAAGAUUCCAUCCAUAGCUCGGAAACGCUCGGGACUGACACUCAGGCUCGCAUGGGGUCGCUCGUGCGUUGACGACCUGUGGGCUCAUCCCGGAUGCUUGUGGAACUUCCUUGCUACUCUUAGGAUAUGCAAUGGAGCAUAUCUAUGAUGAUUGUGGGCUCCCGUCCGUCGGCACCCAUGUUGGUGCACGUCGCCCGCGCGACCGACACUGCCUGUGUGGCUGGCACUGCCUGUGGGCUGGCACUGCCUGUGCGACUGACACUCGUUUGGCCCGUUCGGGGCGCGCAAGGUUGCCAGCGCCAAGGCACAAUGAAGGCAGCCCGUAACAUAACAUGUGCUGCCUCCUUAACUGAAUGAGAAGUUUCCUGAGACUCUGUUGACUCAACAACUUUAUUAUUAGUAUCCUCUGUCAUCCCAUCAGGUGAUUUCCUUUCAAUCUUCUUUUCGUCUGAGUUGACCUCCUCUAUUUCUUCUUUCUGCUUCUCUGCUACCAGUUCAUUUUUUGAAUUAGUACAUGAUGCACGUGAUGCCAUUUCCUGACUUUCUUUAUCUUUUAUCCCCUAUGGUGUACUUUCUCCAUCUUGUGUGUUUUUAGGAUGUGAUACCCCUUUUGGAUUUGCACUAGUAGAAUUCACUUCUUGAGAAACUUCUACUUGAUUUGCUGAAUUUGUGCCUUCUACUUCCUCCAUCCUAUCACCCUAUUUAGUAGUUUCUUUACCUUUCUCCUGAACUGUCUCCAUAGUAUACGUCCCAGUUAUUUCAUUAAUUGUGUCUCCAACUCUUUCUUGGUUAAGGACUUUCCCAAAGUUAUUUUCAAUCCAGUGUUUAGAACUCAUAUUCUCUUGAUCUUUUCCUUUGUUGUUGGUUUCUGCAUCCCCCUCAUCAUUUGCUGCACUCUUUUCAUUGCCAUUAAUGUUGUUUUUGGCUUCCUCCUUUGAAUUGUUGUCCCUUGCCUCUUCCUCCUUACUAUCACUUUCCUCAACAUUGGUCAAGACAUCAAAUUUAUUAUGAGUUUGAAUUUGAUGUUUCUUAGCAGCUUUAUCUUCAGUUGCAUCAGAUUCUUUCGUUUUAUUUCCUUCAUCAGCUUUGGUAUCUUGACUCUCAGCAUUGGUAUUCUGUUUGGCAUUCUACUUAAGACUUCCAACCACUUUCCCACUGGAUAGUACUUUAACAGGAUAUCUCCUGUUUGUGUGGAACUGAUUGUUCUUCUUUGCUUUAGCUAUAGCCCUUGUUACUUCCUCCUCCUUGUUCCUUUCUGUUGUUGAUAUAGGAAUAGGUUCUUCUUUGUUGUCCUAUUCCUUUUGCUUUGUGUUGUCCUCCUCCUUCUGCCUUUGUUCCGGAUUAAGAAUUCUACACUCCCUCUCAUUAUGGCCUUGCAAUUUACAUUCAAAACAGUACUUAAGUACAUGAUCAUACUUAAUGGGAACUAUCACAGUCCUCUCCUCCUUUGUGACUUCAUUUAGAAUAUCAAUUCUAACUGAUUUAGGAAGUUCAUCAUUCAAAUCCAUCAAUACCUUUACUCUAGCACAACUAGGCCUUGUCUUAUUUAUCGUAGCCUAUCAAGAUGUAAAGGUUUGCCAAUCGCCGAUGCUAGUGUGAAUAAUGAUUCCUUUACAAAAAAUGUCGGUAAUAGAUUAGGAAAAGAAAUCCAUGCCAUCGCUUUUGUAGUUUCUUCCUCAAUUUUGAAAUUUGUAUCAUAUAUCAGUGGCCUCAUUUGGUAAUAGUAUCCAUCUCUUGAAUUAAUAUUGUACGACCCUUUAGAAGUAAGAUUUAUAAAAUCUUCAAGUAAAGAUA